GACGAACGCUGGCGGCGUGCUUAACACAUGCGAGUCGAACGGAAAGGCCCUGCUUUUGUGGGGUGCUCGAGUGGCGAACGGGUGAGUAACACGUGAGUAACCUGCCCUUGACUUUGGGAUAACUUCAGGAAACUGGGGCUAAUACCGGAUAGGAGCUCCUGCUGCAUGGUGGGGGUUGGAAAGUUUCGGCGGUUGGGGAUGGACUCGCGGCUUAUCAGCUUGUUGGUGGGGUAGUGGCUUACCAAGGCUUUGACGGGUAGCCGGCCUGAGAGGGUGACCGGCCACAUUGGGACUGAGAUACGGCCCAGACUCCUACGGGAGGCAGCAGUGGGGGAUAUUGCACAAUGGGCGGAAGCCUGAUGCAGCAACGCCGCGUGCGGGAUGACGGCCUUCGGGUUGUAAACCGCUUUCGCCUGUGACGAAGCGUGAGUGACGGUAAUGGGUAAAGAAGCACCGGCUAACUACGUG
rnacentral:rRNA from 1 species